rnacentral:rRNA from 1 species
GUUGAGCGACGCUAGCGSCGCUGCCUAACACAUGCAAGUCGUACGAGAAAGSUGGCUUCGGCCACCGAGUAAAGUGGCGCACGGGUGAGUAACGCGUGGGUAAUCUACCCUCGAGAUCGGAAUAACCCGCCGAAAGGCGGACUAAUACYGGAUAUGACUACGGGACAUAGGUUCUGCAGUUAAAGGCGGGGAUCCUUCGGGACCUGUCACUCAAGGAUGAGCCCGCGUCCCAUCAGCUUGUUGGUAGGGUAACGGCCUACCAAGGCGAAGACGGGUAGCUGGUCUGAGAGGACGAUCAGCCACACUGGCACUGAAACACGGGCCAGACUUCUACGGGAGGCAGCAGUGGGGAAGUUUGCGCAAUGGGCGAAAGCCUGACGCAGCGACGCCGCGUGAGGGAAGAAGGCCUUCGGGUCGUAAACCUCUGUCGAGGGGGAAGAACAACCUGAUGACUAAUAUUCAUCGGGCCUGACGGUACCCCUUAAGGAAGCAUCGGCUAACUACGUGCCAGCAGCCGCGGUAAUACGUAGGAUGCAAGCGUUGCUCGGAAUUACUGGGUGUAAAGCGCGCGCAGGUGGCAAGAUUAGUCGCAGGUGAAAUCCCCCGGCUUAACCGGGGAAUUGCCUGCGAUACUGUCUUGCUUGAGUACGGGGAGRGGGAGAGWGUGAAAUUCCUGGKGGGURCGCGGUGAAAUGCGUAGAAUAUCAGGGAGGAAACACCGGGUGGGCGAAGGGCGACUUCCUGGACCGAUACUGACACUGAGGCGCGAAAGCAUGGGGAGCAAACAGGAUUAGAUACCCUGGGUAGUCCAUGCCCUAAACGAUGGGUACUAGGUGUAAGRACUUAUUAAAGUCUUUGUGCCGUAGCUAACGCAUUAAGUACCCCACCUGGGAAGUACGRSCGCAAKCKRAACUCACAAAGAUAGUAGG